rnacentral:rRNA from 1 species
GAUGAACGCUGGCGGCGUGCCUAAUACAUGCAAGUCGAGCGAACGGACGAGAAGCUUGCUUCUCUGAUGUUGGCGGCGGACGGGUGAGUAACACGUGGAUAACCUACCUAUAAGACUGGGAUAACUUCGGGAAACCGGAGCUAAUACCGGAUAAUAUUUUGAACCGCAUGGUUCAAAAGUGAAAGACGGUCUUGCUGUCACUUAUAGAUGGAUCCGCGCUGCAUUAGCUAGUUGGUAAGGUAACGGCUUACCAAGGCAACGAUGCAUAGCCGACCUGAGAGGGUGAUAGGCCACACUGGAACUGAGACACGGUCCAGACGCCUAAGGGAGGCAGCAGUAGGGAAUCUUACGCAACGGGCGAAAGCAUGACGGAGCAACGCCGCGUGAGUGAUGAAGGUCUUCGGAUCGUAAAACUCUGUUAUUAGGGAAGAACAUAUGUGUAAGUAAAUGUGCACAUAUUGACGGUACCUAAUCAGAAAGCAACGGCUAACUACGUG